GGAUGAUUUGGGGACGUUUUAAACGACGUCGUUCUGUGCGGCCGACAGGAUGAAGAGGAGGUAGACGGCAAGGGCCAUUCUUUAUCCCCGACUUUCUCAGUGCUAUCGCCUCCGGUCUCUGCUGUCUCUGCCUGCGACGUGCUAGCUUGGUCAUAAUUCGUUGCCUGUUUUCUGCUUGACAUAAGUUCAAAUCGUGUGAGCUAUCUUGCAUGGUCGCAGAGAAAGCUGCGGUCUUCGUCAUAUCUUGAAGGUCUUACCUUCACUGAAACGAGAAACUAAAAUGUCGCUUGUAUUCCCAUCGUCCUCUACUGCAGCUUGGCAUUUUACUCGAUGUAAAAUAUAUAAUUUGGAUUUCCAUAAGAAAUCUUCAUAUGUUUCAUACACUCCCUUGCAACA